rnacentral:rRNA from 1 species
AUUGAACGCUGGCGGCAGGCUUAACACAUGCAAGUCGAGCGGUAACAGAUCUAGCUUGCUAGAUGCUGACGAGCGGCGGACGGGUGAGUAACGCGUAGAAAACUGCCCAGUAGUGGGGGAUAGCCCAGAGAAAUUUGGAUUAAUACCGCAUACGCCCUACGGGGGAAAGGGGGCUUCGGCUCUCGCUAUUGGAUGUGUCUGCGUGGGAUUAGCUAGUUGGUGGGGUAAGGGCUCACCAAGGCGACGAUCCCUAGCUGGUCUGAGAGGAUGAUCAGCCACACUGGGACUGAGACACGGCCCAGACUCCUACGGGAGGCAGCAGUGGGGAAUAUUGCACAAUGGGCGCAAGCCUGAUGCAGCCAUGCCGCGUGUGUGAAGAAGGCUUUCGGGUUGUAAAGCACUUUCAGUGAGGAGGAAAAGUUAACGGUUAAUACCCGUUAGCCCUGACGUUACUCACAGAAGAAGCACCGCUAACU